UACGUAGGGGGCAAGCGUUGUCCGGAUUUAUUGGGCGUAAAGAGCGUGUAGGCGGCCACACAGGUCAGCUGUGAAAACUCGAGGCUCAACCUCGAGACGUCGGUUGAAACCGUAUGGCUAGAGUCCGGAAGAGGAGAGUGGAAUUCCCGGUGUAGCGGUGAAAUGCGCAGAUAUCGGGAAGAACACCCGUGGCGAAGGCGGCUCUCUGGGACGGUACUGACGCUAAGGCGCGAAAGCGUGGGGAGCGAACAGG
rnacentral:rRNA from 1 species